UACGUAGGGGGCAAGCGUUAUCCGGAUUCACUGGGUGUAAAGGGAGCGUAGACGGCCAUGCAAGCCUGGAGUGAAAGCCCGGGGCCCAACCCCGGGACUGCUCUGGGAACUGUGCGGCUGGAGUGCGGGAGGGGCAAGCGGAAUUCCUGGUGUAGCGGUGAAAUGCGUAGAUAUCAGGAGGAACACCGGCGGCGGAGGCGGCCUGCUGGACCGCGACUGACGUUGAGGCUCGAAAGCGUGGGGAGCAAACAGG
rnacentral:rRNA from 1 species